CACGUAGGGCGCAAGCGUUGUCCGGAAUUAUUGGGCGUAAAGAGCUCGUAGGCGGUCUGUUGCGUCCGCUGUGAAAACCCGGGGCUUAGCCCCUGGCUUGCAGUGGAUACGGACAGACUAGAGGUAGGUAGGGGAGAAUGGAAUUCCCGGUGUAGCGGUGAAAUGCGCAGAUAUCGGGAGGAACACCGGUGGCGAAGGCGGUUCUCUGGGCCUUACCUGACGCUGAGGAGCGAAAGCGUGGGGAGCGAACAGG
rnacentral:rRNA from 1 species